AUUGAACGCUGGCGGCAUGCCUUACACAUGCAAGUCGAACGGCAGCACGGGUGCUUGCACCUGGUGGCGAGUGGCGAACGGGUGAGUAAUACAUCGGAACGUACCUUAUCGUGGGGGAUAACGCAGCGAAAGCUGUGCUAAUACCGCAUACGCCCUGAGGGGGAAAGCGGGGGAUCGCAAGACCUCGCGCGAUUAGAGCGGCCGAUGCCUGAUUAGCUUGUUGGUGGGGUAAAAGCCCACCAAGGCGACGAUCAGUAGCUGGUCUGAGAGGACGAUCAGCCACACUGGGACGAAGACACGGCCCAGACUCCUACGGGAGGCAGCAGUGGGGAAUUCUGGACAAUGGGGGCAACCCUGAUCCAGCAAUGCCGCGUGAGUGAAGCAGGCCUUCGGGGUGUAAAGCUCUCUUGUCAGGGAAGAAACACCGGCUCUAACACAGUCCGGGAAUGACGGUACCUGAAGAAUAAGCACCGGCUAACUACGUGCCAGCCGCCGCCGUAA
rnacentral:rRNA from 1 species